rnacentral:rRNA from 1 species
CCUACGGGAGGCAGCAGUAAGGAAUAUUGGACAAUGGCCGGCAGGCUGAUCCAGCCAUGCCGCGUGCAGGAAGACGGCCCUACGGGUUGUAAACUGCUUUUGUAAGGGAGUAAACCCCCGCUCGAGAGCGGGGCUGCAAGUACCUUACGAAUAAGCAUCGGCUAACUCCGUGCCAGCAGCCGCGGUAAUACGGAGGAUGCGAGCGUUAUCCGGAUUUAUUGGGUUUAAAGGGUGCGUAGGCGGCCUGUUAAGUCAGGGGUGAAAGGCGCGCGCUUAACGCGCGACGUGCCUUUGAUACUGGCAGGCUUGAAUGCAGCUGAGGUAGGCGGAAUGUGGCAAGUAGCGGUGAAAUGCAUAGAUAUGCCACAGAACACCGAUUGCGAAGGCAGCUUACUAAACUGUGAUUGACGCUGAGGCACGAAAGCGUGGGGAUCAAACAG